ACAACCUUAGGAGCGUCGGUCUACCGAGCAAUAUCACCUGCUCGGUGGAAGAUCUUCCCUUUGUCGU
rnacentral:pre_miRNA from 1 species